rnacentral:misc_RNA from 1 species
GAAAUGCGAUAAGUAGUGUGAAUUGCAGAAUUCAGUGAAUCAUCGAAUCUUUGAACGCACAUUGCGCUUUCUGGUAUUCCGGGGAGCAUGCCCGUUUCAGAAUCAUUGAAGAAAAGUCAAUGGAGAUUUGGAGGUUACUGUUCACCUUGACGGUGGGCAGUGCCCCCACAAGCUCGUUGGAAGUGGACGUUUGCCGGUGCAAUCGUCUGAAAUACAGCGUAUUCAUGCCGAUUUUGCACCUGGGGUGGGAUGAAGUGCAACAGAUUUUUUUUUCUAUUUCGCUUUCUGCCACCGCACGGGACGGGAUUGGUUCGAGUUGGAAGGGUGACAAGGUCGUUCUGGUGCUUUGGGCCAGCCCUUCAACGGUUCAACAAACUUGAUCUGAAAUCGGGCAAGAAAA